GCUUAACUGCCUAACACCGCCAAUGAGAGCUCAUGGAAAAAAACAAGUUUUGCUCUGGCAGCAGGAAGAUAAGUGACGCGCCUCAAACUGGUUGGUUUUGUUCCGGGGUUUGGCUCUUCCUCCAACUGUACGGCUGCAUCUACCUGAGAGGGACGGCUUUUUCUUCCUUCCCUAAUCGCCACUCCAGAGGUCGACUGUCCUUCAGCAGGAGCAGGAAAGAGGAAGACCAGCCAACGGGGCGUCAAGAGCCCUCAUACAAUGAUGCCUGUUGUCUUGGGUUUCUGGCUCGGUGACCGCACCUGGGAAAGACUGGAGGGCCUGCAGCACUGGUUUAUAAUGCUGAUGAUUAACUAAAUAGAGUCUGGGAGAGCAGGUCUGCUUGGCUUUCUCACUUCAUGGGGCCUGCCUGACUGGGAGGAAGACAGCGCGUUCUCAGGCAGCGGGCUGGAAAUUCAAGAUCUUUUUUUUUUCUUCUUUUUUCAACCCCCUCCCUCUAAAUGUACUCACUUUGCUUUGGUUUUGUUACACUCUUUCCUUGGGGUACCUUUCAUGACGGUAAGGUUACAGGUGCAUUCUCUAUUUUCUUUCUCCACCUUCUUCCCCCUAAACUUUUCCCUCCCUUAUACUCUCUUUUCUUUCUCCCUCCCCCUCUCUCCCCUGUGUUCUACUUUAGCGUUGCUUACAGGAUGACUUGAAACCUGUUCUUUCUUAAUGAAGGCAGUAAUACAGCAAAUUUACCUUACGAAAUAUGGAAAGAUGGGCACAUAAAUGUACAAGAAAUUCAAAUCUUCGUUGAAGGAAAGCACUAGGUACUACUUUAAUAUUUCAGGAAUUCUAAUGUUAAAAUGUUCGUAUGGUGUGUGAGGAUUUCACGCGUUGUACCUGUGAAUGAUCCAUGUUAUUCAGUAAAUGAAGGCUGUUUUAGUGACCUUCUGCAGACUUGUUGUUAGCUCAGGUCGAGCCAAGCAGCAUUCCAUCAGCCUUUCAUCACUCCGCAAACACAAAGACAUCGGCCUUAGAGGUCCACCAACGGAAAACUAGGGAACACAAUACAUGGACUUUUCCUUUCUUUGAUUCCAUAAAACAUCUGCUGGUACAGACACUGCUUGAGUAUGCUGCUACUUAAAAACGCAACACCCAUCCGCUGAGAUACAGCAUGACGUGGAAUGGAGAGGCAUUUUUGAAGUUGCAUUUUUGAGUGGAUGUGCGCAACGUCUGCCGUUUAAAAUUAGUCAACCGCCAUGCAUUCUGUGAAAGGCAGCACUCCCAACCUUGCCGUGCCAUAGAUUUAGACUAGUCAGGGCAGGCUUUGGCAAUCAUUAACAACUACUGUGGCCCAGUCUUCUGUGAAGUUUAAGCUGAAAACCCCAACCACAACAAGGGCUCAGUACUUGCACAAUGAAGUGGUGGUCUCCAGAUAUGGACUUCCCCACUCCUAUUUACGAUGCUAUUUUUGAGCCAGUGCAUGUCCAAGUUUUAGUUUCAUCUGUACCACAACAAAACCAGAACUUAACUAGAGCAGAGGGAGGGAAAAGCUUCCUAUCUUUACAUAUUUUUAGUCUUAUUUUUUGUCAAAUGCUCACUCAAUACUUGCUGUACAUUAUCUGCUUUAGUAGUUUUCACAUCCUCAAAUGAAAGUGUCACAGUCUUUAUAUCAGCAAGAGCAUUUGUGUUAGGAGUUAGUAACUUUCUGUUUAGGGUGAUUGUCUUCAUCUUACGAGGCAGCAUUGGAUAUCAUCACUUUCUCUAAUACUGCCUGGUAAUGAUGAUGAUAGUCAUCUGCUGACGGCAAUCUGACAAACCACUUUAGCACAGCAGCAAUGUGCUCCUGCCUUGGACAAUGAAUCAGUUCAAGCAGUUGAGGAGCAACAGAAAUGGCUCUCAGGAUCCAUCUUACCUGACAGUGCUGGAUUGUACAACUGUUGUUCUAACACUGUCUGGUAACGAUGUUUCCUGGGUGACUCUUUGGAUCUUCGGUGUGACUGUGGGGCGGUUGCCCAUCAAAGUUUCUCUUUAAAAUAUAAAAUAAAUAAUUUUCAAGUAACUGUUGAAACCAAGAAGAAUCCCGGGACGUUAGGUUGUACAUUUCAGACUGGAGAAUAUUUGUGUUACACAUUUUACACUGAAGUUAAUAGUAAGACGGUGUGUUGUUUGUAAUACAUUUGCAUUGUAGAUGCCUCAGGCUGCUGUACUAAUGAUCAGUCAAACUAAAAAGGCACAGACAUAGCAUUUGUUUGACAGACAAAGCAUUUGUUUGAGUUAAACACGAACAUUUAUGUCAAAGACCUUUUUCUUUAUUGCAUUGAGAGUCAUGUGAGAAAGAGUAGAUCUUUUAUGCAAUUAUAGACCUGAAGGUCAGCUUUUAUGUUUUUUUUUUUUUUUUUUACCUCUUCACUUGUCUCCUUGUUCUUUUUUUUAUGGCAACUUCACCCCACCCAAGUUAAAGAAUAGCAGUCAGUUGAUGGUUCCACCGGUCUUACAGGGCCUUAUUUCCUUGUUCCCUCCCCUGAACAGCGUUGGUCUUUGUGUUGUGUGUCACUGAUUGGUCCACAUAGUCCUACCUGCGUGGCACAUCCUGGAACUGACACAUGAGCUUACCAGAGCGUGCUUUACCAUUUAAAAAAAAAAACAACUUAGCUAGAGAUGCUUUUACCAAGCUUUCUAAAGUUUUUGCACGCUAAAAGGAAACAAAUACUUCAUGUAUAUAUAUAUAUAUAUCUAUAUAUAUAUAUAUACUAACACAGAUUUCAGGCAGUGUAUUUGAAGGUAAGACGUACACUGAUAUGUCUUGCCACUCUCAAACAAUACAGAUUAAAUGCACAAUUUUACACAAUGAUCAAUUGAGUAAUCAGCUUAGACAGGCAUUUAAAAUUAAUGGGUAAAGCCUUCAAACAGACAUCAGAAACAGAGGCAAAUAAUAGACACAGAGAGAGCAGAAACCUAGUGUUUGUUAAAGGAGGGAGAAUUACCCCACAAAUAUUGAGCCACACCUUUAUUUGCCCACCUAGCUCUAUUAUCAAAGCCACAAACACAAAAUAGUUCUUUUUGUUCCUGUAGCCAUAGCCUCUUCUUCUUGUUGUUGUCAUAUAUUUUGCAUUUAUGGAAUAAUAUAGAAAGACAGAGAACAGCAAUAAUUAAGCUGCUCCCAUCCCCCUCCCUUGUCUGUGUACUUGUGGCUUUUACGCUCUCUCUCUCUGCAUGCUUGCCCAGUUUAAAUGUUCAUAUGAAUGAAGGUACUUUGUAGUGUGUACGGAACCUGUGAUUGCAACAAAAGAGGAACUGCUCAUUUCAAACUGUUUCUGCUACUCUGUUCUGUAUCUUCCAGCUCUUCCUCUUUGCGCAGGUGAAAACUCAGAGGUCAUCCUUCCAGCCUGUUGAUAGGCGUCUUACCAGACAUGGUUAGAUGUAAUUACUCUUGUCUAAUACUGUCUGGUAAUGCCGUCCAUUAAAUGGCAUUACCUUCUGCUCUCUUACUUCCCCUUCUCUUGCUCUUGUGCAUCUGACAUGCGUCGUAUUGACAAAGGGCAGCCCAGGGAAUCACAUCAUCAUAUUAAUAGUAGAGGCAGAUGGGGCAGAAUCAUGAUGACUAUGGAACUAUGAUCCCUGCACUGGAAGAUGGAUUGAUUUCUUGUGGUUUCUUCCAUGUGACUUGAGUCAAAGUUUCUCCUUUGAGCAGCAGUCGAGGAUGACAUGGUACUUCUUACUGUAGACGUUUUCUGAUAAAUGCCAUGCAGUAAAAUUCAUUUCUGGCAGGGAUCCUAAUGCAAAUAUCAUGUAAAAAAAAUCCAUAUAAAAUAUUCUGUGACUUUUAUCUGUUGUAUUAUCUGCUUUCUUCCUAACCCUACAAUAACUGAAUUCUUUCAGGGAAGUUGGCUUUUCUCCAGGUACAGAAGAACAAUGCACGGUUUUUGAAACUCUCUUAUCUAUGACACACUCUGUACUUAAUGCUUUUCAAUGUAAUAUGAUGUUAUGUAAUGAAAAAGGAAACAUUAAAUAAAAGAGGACAAAAUAUGAAA